UUUAUUGGAAACACAACUUUC
rnacentral:piRNA from 1 species